rnacentral:tRNA from 1 species
CAGAUUUUAGUUUAUUGAGAAUAGGGGUUUUGGGGAUCUCAGGUCCCUAGCGGAUAUCUGG